UCUGUGAGCCACUCUAGCAAACUGUUGAACCUGAUGAGAGAUUAGUGGGAACUCUGAUUUAUGUUUGGUGGGUCAGAAGUUUGGGUGAAAACGUGGAACUUGUGAGUGGUAUCUGAAGUGGGAGCUGAACUCCUAACUUGUGAGAUCUAACACUAACUCCAGGUAGACGGUGUUAAAAUGGAGCUGAACUGGAUGACAUCAGGCUGGUAUUAGAGAAUCGGUAUAUAAGCAGCCAUCAAGAAUCGAAGAAUACUCUGGGAUCUUCCUGAGAGAAAUUAAAAUUCUGCCUUAGGAAUCAAAGAGAAGCCGGGGGAAACAAAAGUGAAAAUUCAGUUAUACAGAAAGUAAGAGAAAAAAGAAAGAUGUACUGGUCCACAUUCUCCUAAACUACAAAUACUAAAGAAACUAUGCAUCCCUCAGCAAAGAACUAGGACAAAGAUGAAGAGCAAGCUUUGAAGAAUAGAAAUGCAUUGACCACCGCAUAUCUGAACUAGGAGGUAAUAGAAUGUUCCAGGGAUGGCAAGGGAAGAAUGCAAUUACAGGAGGAUAAACAAAGCCCUCUUUUUGCUCAUUUUAUUAAAAGAAGAAGAGGAUGAAGAAGGAAGGGGAAAAGAGGGAGGAGGAGGAGAAGAAUAAGGAGACAAUAAUGUUCUCUCUACUCUUUAUAAACUUGCUGAAGGUUUGGCCUGACAUGAUGAUUCUUCUAAAUACAGCUCCAGACCCACCCACAGAAUCAUAUAAUACAGUGAGUGAGAACAUGGGUCAGAAAGGUCGGGUUCAUAUCCUUGGUUCAACCACUCAAUGGCAGAGUAACUUCAGGCAACUUCUCUCUGAGCCUUGUUUUCCUAACUUGUACAAGUAGUUAUUAACUCAUAGGAUCGCUGUGUGGCUUAAUUGAGAUAACAAACUCAAAGUGACAGUGCUGGGUCACUCUGGUUAACUGCAGCUCAUUAUGAAACAGUGAUGCUUCCACUUCACAUGUAGCUUAUGCAGGAACCAGACCAGAAUUGACAAGUAUUCCCUAACUAUGCAUUGUAGAUUUUUGCCAUUAUUCUUACCACUUCCUCUAUAAUCAAUUAUUUUUCCUCCAUCAUCAACUACCAUAAUUUUAUCUUUUGUUGACACUUCUGCAAAUGCAUGGCAUAAAAGCCUCCCCUCCGCCCCCCACUCCCACCCAGUCCUCAUUUGUUAUUGGAACCCAGUCACUGUAGGAUCUUGUGUUCCCGUAAUACUUAUAUCUGUCCUUAUAGUUCUAUGUCUUUGUCAUAUUUUUUCUCUUUAGACUAUAAGAUCCUUGAGAGUACACUCUUACUUAUUUUUGUAACCUCUUCAAUACUUUUCAUGUUGGGCCCAACUACUGAAGUGAAUGUUUGAGAAGAGAAUAUGUGCUUUUCCAGAAGUAUGUACAAACUGGCAGAGAUCUGAAAAAGUAUGUUUUAGCUCUCCAUGUCCUCCCGCAAUGUGGUCCAAAUUCCACCGAACGUGACAAACAUGUUAGUCAUUGUGUCUUGGAAUUACAGUUCCCUAGUUUUCUUGGUGAUAUAAUUUUUGCCCAUUUCUCCCAUGAUUUUGCAUUUAUUUAUAUAUGGAAUGUGUUUCAAGAAAAGAAUUAGAAUAAACACAUGCUCUGCCACCAUUUCCAGAAAUCUUGCCUUAUUUUCUAAA